rnacentral:ncRNA from 1 species
UUAUCAAGAGCAGCCGAGUGAACAGGCAUUAUGACGCUGCAGCAACCUGCCAAAAUAGGUAAGGUGCUAAUACCUGCGGUUUAACCGAGUGAUGAG